rnacentral:rRNA from 1 species
AAGUCGUAACAAGGUUUCCGUAGGGUGAGUCCAAUCCACAAUACCCCUCGUGCAUAAUUUUUAACUAACGUGUCUUCUAGUGAACCUGCGGAAGGAUCAUUACUGAGUUAGGGUCUUUUAGGCUCGAUCUCCAACCCUUUGUGUAAAUACCACGUUGCUUUGGCGGGCCCGUCUUUAACCGGACCGCUGGGGGUCUUUGACCUCUGGCCAGCGCUCGUCAGUAGCCCCUACAAACUCUUUUAACCAUGUUAAUCUGAAACUUGUUAAAUAAACUAAAACUUUCAACAACGGAUCUCUUGGUUCUGGCAUCGAUGAAGAACGCAGCGAAAUGCGAUAAGUAAUGCGAAUUGCAGAAUUCAGUGAGUCAUCGAAUCUUUGAACGCACAUUGCGCCCUUUAGUAUUCUGAAGGGCAUGCCUGUUCGAGCGUCAUUAUCAUUAAUCAAGCCCGGCUUGCUGUUGAACCCUUUAUCUUGAAAAAGAUAGGUCCUAAAGAUAAUGACGGCGUCAGUUGGACCCUAGAUGCAACGAGCUUUAACUAGCACGCAUCUUAGUUGGCCCUUUUGACCCGGUCUCUUUACACCAAUUUUAUAGGUUGACCUCGGAUCAGGUAGGAAUACCCGCUGAACUUAAGCAUAUCAAUAAGCGGAGGAAAAGAAACCAACAGGGAUUACCUCAGUAACGGCGAGUGAAGCGGUAAUAGCUCAAAUUUGAAAUCUGGCUCUUUUAGGGUCCGAGUUGUAAUUUGUAGAGGAUGUUUCGGGCACGGUUACGGUUUAAAUUUCUUGGAACAGAAUGUCAAAGAGGGUGAGAGUCCCGUCUUGAACCGAUUACUUCGUCCAUGUGAAACUCCUUCGACGAGUCGAGUUGUUUGGGAAUGCAGCUCAAAAUGGGUGGUAAAUUUCAUCUAAAGCUAAAUAUUGGCCAGAGACCGAUAGCGCACAAGUAGAGUGAUCGAAAGAUGAAAAGCACUUUGAAAAGAGAGUUAAACAGUAUGUGAAAUUGUUGAAAGGGAAGCGCUUGUAAUCAGACUUGAGCUUAACGGUUCCCCCUUCGUUCUCGUUGGGUUAUUCUGUUUUGUCCAGGCCAACAUCAGUUCGAGUGGUUGGUUAAAGACUUUGGGAAUGUAUCUACCCUCCGGGGUCGACUUAUAGCCUAGAGUGUCAUGCAGCCUACCUGGACUGAGGAACGCGCUUCGGCUCGGAUGUUGGCGUAAUGGUUAUAAGCGACC